AAAAGCCUAAAAGGGUAACUUGACAAAAUUUUCACAACUAGUAGUUCUCCUAAAGAUCCCCUAGAAUUGGCCAUAGUAAGUUUUUAACAACAACCAACUGAGAAUACUGAUGCUACUGAUCAUGAUAUGAACGAGGAUAAUAAUAAUUCCAGUGAGCAUGAAAACGUAACUCAUUCACCAAAUUCUGAAUCACCAAGUGUCUAUAAGCAACAGUCAUUCACUGUUGAUAUUUUUGACCCACGACACUGGUAUAAUCUGGAAGAUAAGGCUAGAGAUAUUUUAGUUGAGAAGGGUCCUGUAAGAAAUGAUGAUAUUGUGUUCCGUCCAGAUAGUAAUUCUAGACAUUUUUUACAAACUUUAUUAUUCCAGAAAGUUGAACAAUGGAGAGAUACAUGA
rnacentral:rRNA from 1 species